UAUGUGGGUGAACUUCAGGGAGGUCCAUGAAUUCCCUGAAAAUUCAUGCAGUUUUGUGUCUAAUAUACAUUUUUCUGAGGAGAGGGUUUGUGACUCAUCAAACUCUCAAAAGGUGUCAGCGACCAAAAUGAUUAAAAUAUCAUUUCUGCCUUUCUUAGGAAGAAAUAAGGAAGAAAGCAAAGAAGGCAUCUAAAGGUUGUUCUGGACCCCAGUUUUAAAUUGGCCUGCAGAAAAGAACCAGACCUUCAAGAAUUGGUCAAGAAUUUUCAUUUUGAAGACUUUACAGGUAACUUCAUCAGGUUCAUACUUACAUGGAAAUAAGUCUGCAGUAUUGCAUCUUAAGAAUCCGGAGUUGUUUGCAGCCUAUCUGAAGGUCCUCGAGCAUUUGGUCAGUAAGCAGGACACAACCAGAAAUAUCCAAAAUGUGCAGAACUGAGGGAAGGACCUGGGCUGUUGGAUCACUUGAUGCCAUCAGGAUGACUCCAGAGCCAGCAUCCAUGAAUCCAGAAGCAAUGUUCCAGACUUGCAGUUUCCAGUCUGUCCUGAGAGUUUGGAACUUAUCGCUUCUAUCCUCAAAAGAAGAAAAAAGACAAAAGACUGAAGCUGGAAGAAGUAAUUAAAACCAGAUCCUAAGUCAGUACAUCUGAGACUCCAGACACUUAAUCUGCAUGUGCUGCGGUUUCCAGUUAAACACUAAAAUGAGGUAAUUUUUUAUUCUGAUUAUGUUCAUGCCUCUUGCAAAACCUAACCAGGGUAAAAAUGUUUAUCUCAUUUUUUUCAUUAAAUCAUGAUGUUGAAUGUAA